rnacentral:rRNA from 1 species
UACGAAGGGGGCUAGCGUUGUUCGGAAUUACUGGGCGUAAAGCGUAUGCAGGCGGAUCGUUAAGUCGGGGGUGAAAUCCCGAGGCUCAACCUCGGAACUGCCUUCGAUACUGGCGAUCUUGAGUCCGGGAGAGGUGAGUGGAACUCCGAGUGUAGAGGUGAAAUUCGUAGAUAUCGUAAGGAAGACCAGUGGCGAAGGCGAAUCUCUGGACAGUUACUGACACUGAGGCACGAAGGCCAGGGGAGCAAACGGG